ACGCUAAACUGUGAGUUUUAGCGUGACGCGCACGUAAGUGAGGCGCGGACAAAGACAAUUGCACACGGUAAUAACAGGUGUACAAUAAUGAACAAGUACAAAAGGAAACCAAACAAGAUUAUACAAUAUUUAUACAAUACCCCCAAAAAAGAAAACAGAACCUACAUGCUAACGUGCGUAGCACCCAAAGUACUGUUCGACGCAUUGAAGAGGUCAAAAUUAUUGUUUACAUGAGCUAUAUACAUAUUCGUAUAGAGCUACCAAUCGCUCCAAAAUAUUACACAGACGCACGCACGCACGCACGUGCACAGCACACACGCCAAAAGGAAACGGCGACGCGCUCACAGGAAGCGCCUGACAAAAAAAAAAGAAAAAAAAGGAAAAGUGUGGGGAACCGAGGUCGUAUGCGCUGUCGCAUCUCCCUCUCCCAGAAGGAAUGAAGACGUUCUUGGAACGCAGGGACGGGCGAUUCUCUCUGUCAGCAUCAGCUCCCACCAGCGAGGACGGGGCGAGAAAGCGAAGCGGGACUUUCCUUGCUGUCUAUUUUUUCUUCGUCACGCUCAACGCCGGCUGCCCGCAGGGGCGCAGGCGAGUUCCCGCCAAAUGGCCGGGGGCGCAAGCAGUUGCGUGAGUUGCCGCCAAAUGCUAGCUCUGGAUGCCAGCUCGUUCCGCGUCUCUUGGUAGACUAGUUGGUGCAUUUCUGUUAUCAUGGACUGCGCAUAUAAACGCAAACUACACAAAAGUGACAUGGACAAGAACAGCGCAAGCCCUUUCCAUGCAGUGGAGCCGCCGUAUCUCGCCGUUCAAGAUAUGCGUACUCGAAGAAAAAAGAAAGAGGCUUUACAUGAGAACGGAUCAAGCGUUCGAGAGUUGGGACAGGGAAAUGUGAGACGAAACACUGGAACGACACUGCUUAAAUUGAAGCACAGUGUGCGAAUGACCUGCUACGCUCGGAACUGUUAUCACCAUUCGGGAAGAAAUUGGGUAAGAAUGGAUUGUGUGUGGCGCGCUUCACCGCAUGUGGACUAGAGUAGAUCUAGGAACAUCAGACAAGAAGACACGUAUGUGAAACCCUGCGGAUAGCCCAUAUGUGAACUUUUUUUCCAGAUACGGAGGAACGGACACCGGUCGUGCCGUGAGCACUAUUCUGCAGGGCAUACUUACAAAUGAAGCUGCACUGCAGUUCAGCUGGAAAGGGUCGCAGGGGAGGAAGCACGCCUUCGUGAAGCUCAUGGCCAUCACGAAUAUAACAUCUGUGAGGAGCACGUUCCCUGACGCUUCACUAGCAUCAGUGGCUGGAGUCGCAAAACGCUGGUUGGUUGGAGCAGCUGACAGGGAUGGAGGCCGGAAUGAAAGAAGGCGCCGUGACCCUGCUUCAAGCCCACCAAAUAUGAACUAGUGUUUGAAACUUGUGAACGUGUCGGUGUACAUAUACAAUUACAAGAAAUAAAGACCUGUAUCAGAA